rnacentral:rRNA from 1 species
UCUAGUGGCGCACGGGUGCGUAACGCGUGGGAAUCUGCCCUUGGGUACGGAAUAACUCAGAGAAAUUUGUGCUAAUACCGUAUAAUGUCUUCGGACCAAAGAUUUAUCGCCCAAGGAUGAGCCCGCGUAGGAUUAGCUAGUUGGUGAGGUAAAAGCUCACCAAGGCGACGAUCCUUAGCUGGUCUGAGAGGAUGAUCAGCCACACUGGGACUGAGACACGGCCCAGACUCCUACGGGAGGCAGCAGUGGGGAAUAUUGGACAAUGGGCGAAAGCCUGAUCCAGCAAUGCCGCGUGAGUGAUGAAGGCCCUAGGGUUGUAAAGCUCUUUUACCCGGGAUGAUAAUGACAGUACCGGGAGAAUAAGCUCCGGCUAACUUCGUGCCAGCAGCCGCGGUAAUACGAGGGGAGCUAGCGUUGUUCGGAAUUACUGGGCGUAAAGCGCGCGUAGGCGGUUUUUUAAGUCAGAGGUGAAAGCCCGGGGCUCAACCCCGGAAUUGCCUUUGAAACUGGAAAACUAGAAUCUUGGAGAGGUCAGUGGAAUUCCGAGUGUAGAGGUGAAAUUCGUAGAUAUUCGGAAGAACACCAGUGGCGAAGGCGACUGACUGGACAAGUAUUGACGCUGAGGUGCAAAGCGU